AUGCAAGUCGAGCGGAUGACAGGAGCUUGCUCCUGGAUUCAGCGGCGGACGGGUGAGUAAUGCCUAGGAAUCUGCCUGGUAGUGGGGGACAACGUUUCGAAAGGAACGCUAAUACCGCAUACGUCCUACGGGAGAAAGCAGGGGACCUUCGGGCCUUGCGCUAUCAGAUGAGCCUAGGUCGGAUUAGCUAGUUGGUGAGGUAAUGGCUCACCAAGGCGACGAUCCGUAACUGGUCUGAGAGGAUGAUCAGUCACACUGGAACUGAGACACGGUCCAGACUCCUACGGGAGGCAGCAGUGGGGAAUAUUGGACAAUGGGCGAAAGCCUGAUCCAGCCAUGCCGCGUGUGUGAAGAAGGUCUUCGGAUUGUAAAGCACUUUAAGUUGGGAGGAAGGGCAUUAACCUAAUACGUUAUUGUUUUGACGUUACCGACAGAAUAAGCACCGGCUAACUCUGUGCCAGCAGCCGCGGUAAUACAGAGGGUGCAAGCGUUAAUCG
rnacentral:rRNA from 1 species